GUCAGGAUAGCUCAGUUGGGCAAGCAAAGGACUGAAAAUC
rnacentral:tRNA from 1 species